rfam:Rhodococcus erythropolis PR4 DNA, complete genome.
CGGGAUGUAGCGCAGCUUGGUAGCGCAUCCGCUUUGGGAGCGGAGGGUCGCAGGUUCAAAUCCUGUCAUCCCGA